rnacentral:rRNA from 1 species
UACGUAGGGGGCUAGCGUUGUCCGGAUUUAUUGGGCGUAAAGAGCGUGUAGGCGGCCAGGUAGGUCUGCUGUGAAAACUCGAGGCUCAACCUCGAGACGUCGGCGGAAACCAUCUGGCUAGAGUCCGGAAGAGGAGAGUGGAAUUCCUGGUGUAGCGGUGAAAUGCGCAGAGAUGUGGAGGAACACCGAUGGCGAAGGCAGCCUCCUGGGCCAGCACUGACGCUGAGACACGAAAGCGUGGGUAGCAAACAGG